rnacentral:misc_RNA from 1 species
GAUGAAGAACGUAGUAAAAUGCGAUACUUGGUGUGAAUUGCAGAAUCCCGUGAACCAUCGAGUUUUUGAACGCAAGUUGCGCCCGAAGCCUUUUGGCCGAGGGCACGUCUGCCUGGGCGUCACGCAUCGCGUCGCCCCCCACAAAUUCUCCGUCAGGGGAGCUUGUGUUUCGGGGGCGGAUACUGGUCUCCCGUGCUCAUGGCGCGGUUGGCCGAAAUAGGAGUCCCUUCGAUGGACGCACGAACUAGAGGUGGUCGUAAAAACCCGUCUUUUGUUUCGUGCCGUUAGUCGCGAGGGAAGCUCUUCAAAAACCCCAACGCGUCGUCUCUUGACGGCGCUUCGACCGCGACCCCAGGUCAGGCGGGACUACCCGCUGAGUUUAAGCAUAUCAAUAAGCGGAGGA